GCCUAAUAUCCACUGCAGUUUUCAUGCCACUCAAUAUAAAGAAACAGUGAACUAAGUCAUCAUUCUCUUUCUAACGCCUUGUUCUGUCAGGAUUUAUCUGAAGACCAGAAAACUCAUAGAACCUCUGAAGCACCUCACAAAUACCAAUAACUCAUUUCAUAGUCCCAUUUUUAAACACCAACGAUACACCUUGAACAGGUUCCCAUCUAGGACUCUAUAGACAAAAGGCUUGUCCAAAGGGCAGAAGGGCGACCAAAAUA
rnacentral:lncRNA from 1 species